rnacentral:tmRNA from 1 species
GGGGGCGACACGGCUUCGACGGAGGUAUGAGAACGCGGGAUGCAUGUCGAGCACUAUCGACUCGUAAAUCCGAUGGAAAAAACCAUAAUUGCAGAUUCGCAAUUAGCACUCGCUGCUUAAGAGCAGCGACGUUCACCCCGUCCUUGCCUGUGAGGCGGGACUGAAUGUCAUUUUAGCAGGCUGGUCGUGACGGGCGGCACCGACGCGUCACGACGAGAUUUUAUCGGGGCUAGUCAGUAACGGUUUGGGCGGCGCUUUAACGUUACCGGCGAACUUUCAAGGGCCGACACACAUGUAGAUUCUCUCGUAUCUGUACUUUCGGACGUGGGUUCGACUCCCACCGCCUCCACCA